rnacentral:rRNA from 1 species
CCGUAAUCGGAAUGAGUACACUUUAAAUCCUUUAACAAGGAUCCAUUGGAGGGCAAGUCUGGUGCCAGCAGCCGCGGUAAUUCCAGCUCCAAUAGCGUAUAUUAAAGUUGUUGCGGUUAAAAAGCUCGUAGUUGGUUCUGCGUGCCGCGCUGUCGGUUCGCCGCCUGUCGGUGUUACUGGCAUGUCGCGGCAUGUCCUGUCGGUGGUGAAUGGAAUCCCCGGUGCUUCUUGGGCUUCUUUAGCCUAAGUAUGUGCCGUACGGAUGCCAUUUGCCGAUUUCUCCUACUCCGGUGCUCUUAAACGAGUGUCGAGGUAGGCCGACACGUUCACUUUGAACAAAUUAGAGUGCUUAAAGCAGGCUGAAAUAUCUGCCUGAAUAGUGGUGCAUGGAAUAAUAAAAUAGGACCUCGGUUCUAUUUUAUUGGUUUUAGGAAUAUGAGGUAAUGAUCAAUGUGGACUGGCGGGGGCAUUCGUAUUGCGACGUUAGAGGUGAAAUUCUUGGAUCGUCGCAAGACGCACUAGAGCGAAAGCAUUUGCCAAGUAUGUCUUAAUUGAUCAAGAACGAAAGUUAGAGGCUCGAAGGCGAUCAGAUACCGCCCUAGUUCUAACCAUAAACGAUGCCAGCCAGCGAUCCGCCGAUGUUCCAAUAAUGACUCGGCGGGGAGCUUCUACCCGGGAAACCAAAGCUUUUGGGUUCCGGGGGAAGUAUGGUUGCAAAGCUGAAACUUAAAGGAAUUGACGGAAGG